AUUGAAGGGUUUGAUCCUGGCUCAGAAUGAACGUUGGCGGCGUGGAUUAGGCAUGCAAGUCGCGCGAGAAGAGUUUGGUGCUUGCAUUAAACUCGGACAGCGGCGCAAGGGAGAGUAACGCGUGGAUAUCUGCCCUCGGCUCCAGAAUAGCUACGGGAAACUGUAGGUAAUGCUGGAUAAUAUCUCCGGAUCAAAGGUGUGAUUCCGGCCGAGGAUGAGUCCGCGUCCUAUUAGAUUGUUGGUGGGGUAAUGGCCUACCAAGUCGAAGAUGGGUACCGGGUGUGAGAGCAUGGCCCGGCUCACUGGGACUGAGACACUGCCCAGACACCUACGGGUGGCUGCAGUCGAGAAUCUUCGGCAAUGGGCGCAAGCCCGACCGAGCGACGCCGCGUGCGGGAUGAAGGCCUUCGGGUUGUAAACCGCUGUCAGAGGGG
rnacentral:rRNA from 1 species